rnacentral:rRNA from 1 species
GACGAACGCUGGCGGCGUGCUUAACACAUGCAAGUCGAACGGAAAGGCCCUGCUUUUGUGGGGUGCUCGAGUGGCGAACGGAUGAGUAACACGUGAGUAACCUGCCCUUGACUUUGGGAUAACUUCAGGAAACUGGGGCUAAUACCGGAUAGGAGCUCCUGCUGCAUGGUGGGGGUUGGAAAGUUUCGGCGGUUGGGGAUGGACUCGCGGCUUAUCAGCUUGUUGGUGGGGUAGUGGCUUACCAAGGCUUUGACGGGUAGCCGGCCUGAGAGGGUGACCGGCCACAUUGGGACUGAGAUACGGCCCAGACUCCUACGGGAGGCAGCAGUGGGGAAUAUUGCACAAUGGGCGGAAGCCGGAUGCAGCAACGCCGCGUGCGGGAUGACGGCCUUCGGGUUGUAAACCGCUUUCGCCUGUGACGAAGCGUGAGUGACGGUAAUGGGUAAAGAAGCACCGGCUAACUACGUG